rnacentral:rRNA from 1 species
CCUACGGGGGGCAGCAGUGGGGAAUAUUGCACAAUGGGGGAAACCCUGAUGCAGCGACGCCGCGUGAGUGAAGAAGUAUUUCGGUAUGUAAAGCUCUAUCAGCAGGGAAGAAGCAAGACGGUACCUGACUAAGAAUCCCCGGCUAACUACGUGCCAGCAGCCGCGUUAAUACGUAGGGGGCAAGCGUUAUCCGGAUUUACUGGGUGUAAAGGGAGCGUAGGCGGUAUGGCAAGUCUGAAGUGAAAGCCCAGGGCUUAACCCUUGGACUGCUUUGGAAACUGUU